rnacentral:rRNA from 1 species
AUUGAACGCUGGCGGCAGGCUUAACACAUGCAAGUCGAGCGGAGAUGAGGUGCUUGCACCUUAUCUUAGCGGCGGACGGGUGAGUAAUGCUUAGGAAUCUGCCUAUUAGUGGGGGACAACAUUCCGAAAGGAAUGCUAAUACCGCAUACGUCCUACGGGAGAAAGCAGGGGAUCUUCGGACCUUGCGCUAAUAGAUGAGCCUAAGUCGGAUUAGCUAGUUGGUGGGGUAAAGGCCUACCAAGGCGACGAUCUGUAGCGGGUCUGAGAGGAUGAACCGCCACAAUGAGACUGAGACACGGCCCAGACUCCUACGGGAGGCAGCAGUGGGGAAUAUUGGACAAUGGGGGGAACCCUGAUCCAGCCAUGCCGCGUGUGUGAAGAAGGCCUUAUGGUUGUAAAGCACUUUAAGCGAGGAGGAGGCUACUGAGACUAAUACUCUUGGAUAGUGGACGUUACUCGCAGAAUAAGCACCGGCUAACUCUGUGCCAGCAGCCGCCGUAA